GGGUUGUGAGGUUAAGCGACUAAGCGUACACGGUGGAUGCCCUGGCAGUCAGAGGCGAUGAAGGACGUGCUAAUCUGCGAUAAGCGUCGGUAAGGUGAUAUGAACCGUUAUAACCGGCGAUUUCCGAAUGGGGAAACCCAGUGUGUUUCGACACACUAUCAUUAACUGAAUCCAUAGGUUAAUGAGGCGAACCGGGGGAACUGAAACAUCUAAGUACCCCGAGGAAAAGAAAUCAACCGAGAUUCCCCCAGUAGCGGCGAGCGAACGGGGAGCAGCCCAGAGCCUGAAUCAGUGUGUGUGUUAGUGGAAGCGUCUGGAAAGGCGCGCGAUACAGGGUGACAGCCCCGUACACAAAAAUGCACAUGCUGUGAGCUCGAUGAGUAGGGCGGGACACGUGGUAUCCUGUCUGAAUAUGGGGGGACCAUCCUCCAAGGCUAAAUACUCCUGACUGACCGAUAGUGAACCAGUACCGUGAGGGAAAGGCGAAAAGAACCCCGGCGAGGGGAGUGAAAAAGAACCUGAAACCGUGUACGUACAAGCAGUGGGAGCACGCUUAGGCGUGUGACUGCGUACCUUUUGUAUAAUGGGUCAGCGACUUAUAUUCUGUAGCAAGGUUAACCGAAUAGGGGAGCCGAAGGGAAACCGAGUCUUAACUGGGCGUUAAGUUGCAGGGUAUAGACCCGAAACCCGGUGAUCUAGCCAUGGGCAGGUUGAAGGUUGGGUAACACUAACUGGAGGACCGAACCGACUAAUGUUGAAAAAUUAGCGGAUGACUUGUGGCUGGGGGUGAAAGGCCAAUCAAACCGGGAGAUAGCUGGUUCUCCCCGAAAGCUAUUUAGGUAGCGCCUCGUGAAUUCAUCUCCGGGGGUAGAGCACUGUUUCGGCAAGGGGGUCAUCCCGACUUACCAACCCGAUGCAAACUGCGAAUACCGGAGAAUGUUAUCACGGGAGACACACGGCGGGUGCUAACGUCCGUCGUGAAGAGGGAAACAACCCAGACCGCCAGCUAAGGUCCCAAAGUCAUGGUUAAGUGGGAAACGAUGUGGGAAGGCCCAGACAGCCAGGAUGUUGGCUUAGAAGCAGCCAUCAUUUAAAGAAAGCGUAAUAGCUCACUGGUCGAGUCGGCCUGCGCGGAAGAUGUAACGGGGCUAAACCAUGCACCGAAGCUGCGGCAGCGACGCUUAUGCGUUGUUGGGUAGGGGAGCGUUCUGUAAGCCUGCGAAGGUGUGCUGUGAGGCAUGCUGGAGGUAUCAGAAGUGCGAAUGCUGACAUAAGUAACGAUAAAGCGGGUGAAAAGCCCGCUCGCCGGAAGACCAAGGGUUCCUGUCCAACGUUAAUCGGGGCAGGGUGAGUCGACCCCUAAGGCGAGGCCGAAAGGCGUAGUCGAUGGGAAACAGGUUAAUAUUCCUGUACUUGGUGUUACUGCGAAGGGGGGACGGAGAAGGCUAUGUUGGCCGGGCGACGGUUGUCCCGGUUUAAGCGUGUAGGCUGGUUUUCCAGGCAAAUCCGGAAAAUCAAGGCUGAGGCGUGAUGACGAGGCACUACGGUGCUGAAGCAACAAAUGCCCUGCUUCCAGGAAAAGCCUCUAAGCAUCAGGUAACAUCAAAUCGUACCCCAAACCGACACAGGUGGUCAGGUAGAGAAUACCAAGGCGCUUGAGAGAACUCGGGUGAAGGAACUAGGCAAAAUGGUGCCGUAACU
rnacentral:rRNA from 1 species